AGCGAACGCUGGCGGCAGGCCUAACACAUGCAAGUCGAACGAAGUCUUCGGACUUAGUGGCGGACGGGUGAGUAACACGUGGGAACGUACCUUCUGGUUCGGAACAACUCAGGGAAACUUGAGCUAAUACCGGAUGAGCCCUUAGGGGGAAAGAUUUAUCGCCGAAAGAGCGGCCCGCGUUAGAUUAGCUAGUUGGUGAGGUAAAGGCUCACCAAGGCUACGAUCUAUAGCUGGUCUGAGAGGAAGAUCAGCCACACUGGGACUGAGACACGGCCCAGACUCCUACGGGAGGCAGCAGUGGGGAAUCUUGCGCAAUGGGCGAAAGCCUGACGCAGCCAUGCCGCGUGAAUGAUGAAGGUCUUAGGAUUGUAAAAUUCUUUUACCAGGGACGAUAAUGACGGUACCUGGAGAAAAAGCCCCGGCUAACUUCGUGCCAGCCGCCGCCGUAAAAC
rnacentral:rRNA from 1 species